GCUGGGCGUGGUGGCGCACGCCUGUAGUCCCAGCUACUUGGGAGGCUGAGGCAGGAGAAUCUCUUGAACCCAGGAGGCAGAGGUUGCAGUGAGCCGAGAUUGUGCCACUGCACUCCAGCCUGGGCAAUAGAGGGAGACUCUGUCUCAA
ensembl:misc_RNA Metazoa_SRP Metazoan signal recognition particle RNA